GUUUGAUCCUGGCUCAGGAUGAACGCUGGCGGCGUGCCUAACACAUGCAAGUCGAACGGUGGCUGAUUUCGGUUGGUCACAGUGGCGCACGGGUGAGUAACACGUAGCUAACCUGCCCUGGAGAGCGGGAUAACUUUGGGAAACCAGAGCUAAUACCGCAUAAGCUCACGGCGAAUAGAGAGGCGUGAGAAAAGGGGAAACCCGCUCUGGGAUGGGGCUGCGGCCCAUCAGCUGGUUGGUGGGGUAACGGCCUACCAAGGCGACGACGGGUAGGGGGCCUGAGAGGGUGGUCCCCCACACUGGGACUGAGACACGGCCCAGACUCCUACGGGAGGCAGCAGUGAGGAAUAUUGGUCAAUGGGCGCAAGCCUGAACCAGCGACGCCGCGUGGGCGAAGAAGGCCUUCGGGUCGUAAAGCCCUUUUCUGUGUGAAGAGAGCGGACGGUAGCACAGGAAUAAGCGUCGGCUAACUACGUGCCAGCAGCCGCGGUAAAACGUAGGACGCAAGCGUUAUCCGGAAUUACUGGGCGUAAAGGGCGUGCAGGCGGUCUCUUAAGUUAGGCGUGAAAGCUCCGGGCUAAACCUGGAGAGGUCGUCUGAUACUGGGGGACUAGAGUGUGGUAGAGGGGUGUGGAAUUCCGGGUGUAGUGGUGAAAUGCGUAGAUAUCCGGAGGAACACCAGUGGCGAANGCGGCACCCUGGGCCACAACUGACGCUAAGACGCGAAAGCAUGGGUAGCGAACGGGAUUAGAAACCCCGGUAGUCCAUGCCGUAAACGAUGUGCACUCGGUGUUCUGGCAGGAAAGCCUGCUGGAGUGCCUCAGCCAACGCGGUAAGUGCACCGCCUGGGGGAGUA
rnacentral:rRNA from 1 species